UGUUCUUCAUGAGUAUUAAAGCUACAGCGAGCUGUUCAUAGCACAAGUGAAGGAAGACACAUGGCAGGAGCAAGACUGACAGACAUGGACCGGGUUAAGGACAUGUAUGAUGGAGUUGAUUCUGCUACAAUGAAUAAACAACAAAAAGAAGCGCACAUAAACAGAACACUUGAAGAAAACCCAGAUGUUCUGUUAAGGGUUUAUAAACAGGGCAAACUUCAUAUGUUGUUCUUAAGACCGACUCGUCCUGGACUGUGGAUGAGUGUGAUCCAGAGAAGGAUUACAACCAACCUGUCUUUUCAGAUGACUAAGAGACGUGCUGAAGACAAUAUCUUCAAGAUCACCAUGUCUGGUCUUCAGAAUGAACUUCAACGCUUCUGUGAUGAGUUUGAAGAUGUUAGGAGAAAUAUGAUGCUAGAUAAAGGAGCAGCAGCACAAAACAACCCAGAGGAUGAUGUUGAGGAGCUCAGAGAGAGAAUCAAGGAGCUGGAACUGGAAAACAGAAGACUACGUGAUCUUCUAGAUCAUUAGAUGUGUCUUCACACCAGGUGCACACCCGAGGCCUGUGUAUCACAGUUUCACUUUCCUCACUGCAGUGGGAGCAAAACCGGCUUUCAUUUAGUACUGAGCUUCACAAAGAAGGAAUGAAUUUCAAUUAAUCUAAGGCUUAGGAAUAGAUUUAAACUUACUCAUGUUUGUUUGUUUGUUUGUUUUUCGUUUGGUUUGAUUUAUUGAUUUUAUUGUAUUCAGUUUUAAAUGUUUAUUUCUCUCAUACACAACGUUGCACAUUACGACAUGCAGAUAAAUGUUGUCCUAAAAGAAGAAUAUAAUUGUUACAAUAAAAGUAGAUGUUGGAUUAUCUGUACAAAUAAUAGGAAUAAAAUAUAAAAAUAUAUAAAUAUAUUUAUAUGAAUAUAGUACAGUGAGCAAACAGUAUGACUUUGGGAAAUAAAGUUCAGAUGUUUACUAUAUUUUUUUGCAUAUAAUAGCCAUGUAAUAACAUUUACUGUGCGAUUUAAUAAACAUUUAAUAAAGUGAUUAUUAAAACA